rnacentral:rRNA from 1 species
ACUCCUGCGGGAGGCAGCAGUGGGGAAUUUUGGACAAUGGGCGAAAGCCUGAUCCAGCAAUGCCGCGUGAGUGAAGAAGGCCUUCGGGUUGUAAAGCUCUUUUGUCAGGGAAGAAACGGUGAGAGCUAAUAUCUUUUGCUAAUGACGGUACCUGAAGAAUAAGCACCGGCUAACUACGUGCCAGCAGCCGCGGUAAUACGUAGGGUGCAAGCGUUAAUCGGAAUUACUGGGCGUAAAGCGUGCGCAGGCGGUUUUGUAAGUCUGAUGUGAAAUCCCCGGGCUCAACCUGGGAAUUGCAUUGGAGACUGCAAGGCUAGAAUCUCGCAGAGGGGGGUAGAAUUCCACGUGUAGCAGUGAAAUGCGUAGAUAUGUGGAGGAACACCGAUGGCGAAGGCAGCCCCCUGGGUCAAGAUUGACGCUCAUGCACGAAAGCGUGGGGAGCAAACAGGAUUAGAUACCCGGGUAGUCCCA